rnacentral:lncRNA from 1 species
UAAAAAGAUGGGCUGAAUUUGAAUUUAAUAAAGCAUCUCAUUAAGACAAACACUCGAUAUGAAUAUCUCGGCAAUAGAAUGUUGGAUACGCAAACGUCAAGUUAUUUUCAAAACGAAGCGGUCGUUUUAUGCCGAUUUGUGCAAGUGGUUAUCUCCCCUUAAUACUACCAGCCAAAAAUAAAAACCCAGCAAAAUGCAUAAAAAAUUAAAAAGGAGUUCUCUUUACAAAAGUUAGAAAGGAAAAUAAACGAAACUUAAUUUACAACUAUGUUUUAAUAAUAUAAAGAAGAGAUACUUCCCUAUUUUUCAGAGAAGGACUAAAUGUAAAAAUUCAGACA